CCUACGGGAGGCAGCAGUGGGGAAUCUUGCGCAAUGGGCGAAAGCCUGACGCAGCGACGCCGCGUGAGGGAUGAAGGUCUUCGGAUCGUAAACCUCUGUCAGCAGGGAAGAACGGUCACUGUGCUAAUCAGCAGUGAAUUGACGGUACCUGCAAAGGAAGCACCGGCUAACUCCGUGCCAGCAGCCGCGGUAAUACGGAGGGUGCGAGCGUUAAUCGGAAUUACUGGGCGUAAAGCGCUCGUAGGCGGUAUGUCAAGUCAAGGGUGAAAUCCCCGCGCUCAACGGGGGAACUGCCUUUGAAACUGGCAAACUGGAGUGUGGGAGAGGAUAGUGGAAUUCCAGGUGUAGGAGUGAAAUGCGUAGAUAUCUGGAGGAACAUCAGUGGCGAAGGCGACUAUCUGGCACAUAACUGACGCUGAGGAGCGAAAGCGUGGGUAGCAAACAGGAUUAGAUACCCUUGUAGUC
rnacentral:rRNA from 1 species